CUAUUCCCCUCACGGAGCGACCGUUCCCAGAAUUCCCUGGAAAUCUCAGAGUGGUUUAACAGUCAGCCCCUCUUCCCAGGGAAUUCUGGGAAUAGUCUUUCCAUGAGGGGAAUA
rnacentral:miRNA from 1 species